CCUACGGGAGGCAGCAGUGGGGAAUAUUGGACAAUGGGGGGAACCCUGAUCCAGCCAUGCCGCGUGUGUGAAGAAGGCCCUCGGGUUGUAAAGCACUUUCAGUGAGGAAGAACGCCUGGUGGUUAAUACCCAUCAGGAAAGACAUCACUCACAGAAGAAGCACCGGCUAACUCCGUGCCAGCAGCCGCGGUAAUACGGAGGGUGCGAGCGUUAACCGGAAUUACUGGGCGUAAAGCGCGCGUAGGUGGCUUGAUAAGCCGGUUGUGAAAGCCCCGGGCUCAACCUGGGAACGGCAUCCGGAACUGUCAAGCUAGAGUGCAGGAGAGGAAGGUAGAAUUCCCGGUGUAGCGGUGAAAUGCGUAGAGAUCGGGAGGAAUACCAGUGGCGAAGGCGGCCUUCUGGACUGACACUGACACUGAGGUGCGAAAGCGUGGGUAGCAAACAGGAUUAGAUACCCUUGUAGUC
rnacentral:rRNA from 1 species